rnacentral:lncRNA from 1 species
UUUUUCUCCCGCAAACAUACUUUCUCCUCCCCUUCUCUGGCAGGACUGGGACACUGUUGAGAGGCAGGAGGAGGAGGCCCCCAGCUGGGACGAGCUCGCAGUGAUGAUCCCGAGGAGGCCUCGGGAGGGGCCGAGAGCUGACAGCUCCCAAAGGGCUCCGUCUCUCCUCACCAGGUCCCCUGUGGGAGGAGAUGCUGCAGGCCAGAAAAAGGAGGACACCGGCGGUGGGGGCCGGAGCGCAGGACAGCACUGGGCAAGGCUCCGGGGAGAAAGCGGGUUGUCCCUGGAGCGGCACCGGUCAACACUGACCCAGGCUUCCUCCAUGACACCACACAGUGGACCUCGAAGCACCACGUCUCAGGCUUCUCCUGCCCAAAGGGACACUGCUCAGGCUGCCUCUACACGUGAAAUCCCCAGAGCCUCCUCUCCCCAUCGAAUCACCCAAAGGGACACCUCCAGGGCCUCAUCCACCCAACAGGAAAUCUCCAGGGCCUCAUCCACCCAACAGGAAACCUCCAGGGCCUCAUCCACCCAAGAGGACACCCCUAGGGCCUCAUCCACCCAAGAGGACACCCCCAGGGCCUCAUCUACACAGUGGAACACCCCCAGAGCUUCCUCUCCCUCACGAAGCACCCAACUGGAUAACCCCAGAACCUCUUCUACCCAGCAGGACAACCCCCAAACUUCUUUUCCUACUUGUACUCCCCAGCGGGAAAACCCCAGGACACCCUGUGUCCAGCAGGACGAUCCCAGAGCCUCCUCUCCCAACAGAACCACUCAACGAGAGAAUUCCAGAACAUCCUGUGCCCAGCGGGACAAUCCCAAAGCCUCCAGAACCUCCUCUCCCAAUAGAGCCACACGAGACAACCCCAGAACAUCCUGCGCCCAGCGGGACAAUCCCAGAGCCUCCUCUCCCAGUAGAGCUACACGAGACAACCCCACAACAUCCUGUGCCCAGCGGGACAAUCCCAG